rnacentral:rRNA from 1 species
CCGCGGUAAUACGGAGGGUGCGAGCGUUAAUCGGAAUUACUGGGCGUAAAGCGCACGCAGGCGGUUUGAUAAGCGAGAUGUGAAAGCCCCGGGCUUAACCUGGGAACUGCAUUUCGAACUGGCAAACUAGAGUGUGAUAGAGGGUGGUGGAAUUUCCUGUGUAGCGGUGAAAUGCGUAGAUAUCUGAAGGAACACCAAUGGCGAAGGCGGCCACCUGGACCAACACUGACGCUCAUGUGCGAAAGCGUGGGGAGCAAACAGGAUUAGAUACCCUGGUAGUCCACGCCGU